ACUUGAGAUUGGGUGUCCCACAUUACCCUAAACCACCCUGGUUUGAGAGGUGAUUGGUGUGAUGUCAAUGUCGGAUGCGAUGGGAAUGGUAUUCAGGACCUUUUCAUCAUUCAUUUAUUUUAAAAACGAAUAUGGCUCCUUUUUGAAAAACUGCCUAAUUAAAAAGUGAAACACAAUUAGUGAAAUGGAUACACGCAGCACCGUAGCUUCACAAUGGCUCCUAUUCUGCUUUAGGAGUCUUGUCAGUCCCUCUUGAGUCAGUCUAGCCAAGCAACUUGGACUCAGAAACGGCAUUUGUAAAAAAACAAAAAAAACAAACAAAACUUUAACAAGCCUUUGGACAAAUGAUGGAUGGUUGAAUCAGGGUGAGGGUCCCCACACAUAUAUUUGGUGGUUAAUUAGGCUAGUGCAAAAAAUAAAUGUUAAGUCGUUUAACUCUUAAUGUGAGUAACAGCAGCCCUGAUUUAUUAAUAACAAUUUCCAAUAUAUAUAUAUAUUUUACUCUAAUUAGUAUGCAUUAUUGAAUGUUUCCCACAAACCUACAAUAUGUGGGGUUAAGUUAUCAGAAUCAGUAUGUGCACACAUACAAGCAAUCUGACUCCGGUUUUAAGUUGCUCUCAAUGUUACACACAGUUCCAAGACAAAUUUACAGGAAGACAGAUGGAGAUAGGCAUACAGCUAAAGACAAGGGCAAUAAAGUUGAAGAAAGAGAGGUACAAAUAAACACAGAACUAUUAUGAACAUACAAGUAGGUGGAAAAAUAGGUGUUUUUUUAUAAAUAUAUAUAAAAAGCAACAGUGAACAUCAAUAUACAAUGGCUACAUGCUGUACAAGCCAAGUGUUUCUGUAAAUUGUAAACUAAUAAAAAUAGUGCAAAGGAAUCAGGGUGGAUACACAUGAAGUGGGUGGUUAUGUAGGCCUACAAUAUAUGCAUGCAUACAUGUCUAUACACAGUAUACAGCAUGCAGCAUGCAGCAUUUGAUAGAGAUGGAUGAUAUGUAGCCUACAUAUUAAAGCAUGCUUUAAAUCUAUAAUUUGUAGGUAAAUGGAUGUUUUUCAGAGUUACUGACACUAUAUGACUGAUUGAACUGUUCAUCAGAGUGCUGGCGCGCAUCGUUAUGUAACAACGAUGCAACAUUGAAGUCAUUUGUUCUCUAUAUCAAGUCUGACGCUCUUAACAGCUUCUCAGAAGGUUUAGAGAAGAUAGUCACGUUGCGUGCAGUCUACAGGAUAAACACACGAGACACGGAGCGAUAAGGACCAGGAAACAGCGUAUCUGUGUUUUGAACGACAGCUUUCCAACACAACCUGGACAUCUGGGAUCCACGUGGAGGACACAACAGACUGUUGUGAUUGUUGAUUGACGUCCACGUCAAAUGUGUUUUAUGAGUCGGUUAACAGCGAAUUGGGAAGGGCAAGAUCGCUUCCUUUCAACUUUUCUUUCAACCUUAGGGAACUCUUAUGUGUGUCAUUCAACGGAGUGAGAGGCCCAUUAGUCUAUCGCGAGGAACACUCCACAAUAGCAUCACGAGGAUUGGAGAGAUGAUCAAGUUAUAACUAAAUGCUCCUUACAGGCACAUCUCGGCACCAUCCGCUGAGCAUCGAUUUCUUGAUCACUGAGAAUCAGCGCGAUAAAGGGUACGAUCAAUUCAUUAUCAGGACACUUUAAUGAGCGACUGAUUAAGUCUGAACAUUUUUUGAUUGAAUCUGUAAGUGUUCAAAUUAGCUCUUUGUUGUUUGCACUUAAGGAACAUCCCCAAAACAACCUCACUGACGUUGAGUGCAGUUUGAGGACAAAUCAAUAACUGAGUGAUUCACUGUAGAAUCUUUAUUGUCAUAUUUAAUAACAAAUGUUCUUAAAGGCUGAUGAUCAAUUAAAGGUACUUGGACUUUCCUUGAGUAUAGUUAGCAAUAUUAUUAUAUUUUUUUAAUAUUAUAUUAUUGCUAACAAUAGUUAGCAGUUACUUUGAGUAUUUUACACAACCUAUAAUCAUCUUUUAAAAGAUGAAGCGAUAUUAAAGAGCCCAACAAAUUGGUUAACUUUAGCUCUACUUCGAUCAGCUACAAGACUCAAACUCUACAAUAAACUGAUGCAUCAUUUUUAAUAACCCAAUAACAUAAAACAUAUAAUAAUAAACACUCGCUGUUCUGCAUGUUUACUUCUGAUACUUAAGCGCAUUUCCUUUAUAAAUCUGUACUUUCACAUAGGUAAAAAUUUAAAUGCAGAACUUUUACUUGUAAUGGAGUGAAAGUCCAUACUAACAAUAUGGUAGUAUUGAUACUUUUACUUAAGUAAAGAUCAGCCACAACUGGCAUUAAGUUUACUGUAUGUUGAACAUCUAUUACCAACACACUGGAGAAAUACAGUGACUGGAGAAACGAACUGAAAGGAACAAUGUAACAAACUUAACUCUUACAAAUGUAUAUGUCCAACAUAUCUAUUUCUCUGUUUUCUAUGGGUACAGAGGAUUAAGACAAAACAUAAUAAAUCAGUCUUAGUGACAAACAGGCCUUUAAAAUCCAGUAAAUGGGGUUCAUAAAGUUCAGAUAAUAAUAAUAACAAUAAUCAUAUAUAGAGCAAAGAAUUAGAAUAAUCUUUUCUAAAUACAACAAUUUUUUUUAUUGGUCUAAACUAAUCCUGCAGCUGUAAUGAGUGAAUUGAAUUGUUUUGGAUCACAUUAUAUUGAGAGGUGUUUCUGCCAUGUGUGUGAACAGGAGUGGACAAAAAAAAAAAAAUUGAAAUGCAACCACUGAAUUUAGUCAGUACCAGCAAUGACAACAGUUUCAAAAAUGAACGUACACCUGCAUCAACAUCUCUCUGACAGUGUCAAAAAUGAUUCAAGCAUUUUCAGAUUCACAAGAAAACAUUUGCAUUGAAUUGCAUUAGAUUUGACAGGUGUAUAAACUGGUAAUUGAGUCUUUAUUAUACUUGUGUUAAAUGUAGUGUUGAUAAUAUGUGUAAUAGGUCAGAUUGGAAAAGAAAAUAAAAGAAAAUGAAAUGCUGAUCAAUUUUGAAGUGUCAGUUUGGUCACAGAUAAGCUUUUAAUAAAGUCCAACUUUGUGUCUUGUGCUUUUGCAGUUUGUAUAAUAUGGAUUUGUUCAAGGU